AUGUUCUCUUCGCAAUCCUUGAGCCGCGUCAACAACAUUCGCACCGCCCUCAUCGACGCUCAAAAGGGCAACCAGUCCGUCGCUGCCUACUUCGCCUUCAUGCGUGGGCUUGCCGAUGAACUCGCCGCGGUGGGCAAACCCAUCCAGGACGACGAGCUCAUCUCCUAUAUCCUGCACGGGCUGGACAUGGACUACCAGCCCCUGGCCUCAGCUCUCGACGCCCGCGUCACGCCCGUCACCCUCGACGAGCUCUUCGCCAUGCUCAGUAACUUCGAUCAGCGCGUGGCUCACUUCCAGAACUCCGGCGGCGGCUUCAAGUCAUCUGCGAAUGCGGCCACCCGCGGGCGUGGUGGAUACUCAGCUCGCCACCGCGGUCCUCCUCGUCCCGAGGGCAAGCAAGACUCUGGCCGUCCCAACUCCACCAGCAACAGGGGGCGGCGAAGCGGAUCUGGCCGGUCUCGUCCCGACGCCGUGCGCUGUCAAAUCUGUGGGAAACCUGGCCACACAGCUAAAGACUGUUGGUACCGGUUUGAUGAGGACGAGCAAUCAUCACAAGAAGAAGAAAAAUAA
rnacentral:rRNA from 1 species